CUGUAAAUGCCUCACAGCUCCGCUCUGUGUGAUGCAAAUGGCUUUGCAGAAAGAGCCUAUGCCCAAAUUGUUAGUCUAAUAUUGGCCAGGAUAUUGCAGCCAGGCAGGAUGGGAUAUGUAGCAGGGGACAUUUUAAUGUGUCAGAUUAAAACACCUCUGCAAAUCUUGGCUGAGUUCAGGCUCCCAAAGAGCUGCUGUGGAUUCAGGACAGAUUUCAGUUCAAGCAGAAGGGCUGGCUAAUCAUUAAAAUACAUCAUACAGGUAAUCUGGCUCGCACUCCAAGACCUUUAGAGGUAUUUUAACACCCACAGCACUCCAAGUGCUAAAACAGCUUGACCAAAUUUGGCAUUCAGCAUCUCCUGAAAGGAAAACAGAACUCAGAGCAGCAGAAGAGCGAGGCCCUUUCAGUGAUGUGACUUACAGGGGAAAUCAGAGGCUGCUCCUGAGCUGAGCCCCACGUCCCAGAGCUCCCAGCACCCCUGUGAGCACGGAUGAGCAGGGCUGGUGACCGUGGGACAGGGGACAGAGGAGCUGGAGCCAGCCCUGGUGGGGCGUGCUGGCGAGCAGCGCUCACAUAUUAACAGAUUUCCACUCAAACUGGCAAAUAGGGAUGUCUAUGCUCGAGAUGCUGUGUGAAAGCCAAGGCAACAAAAGUCAAAAUGUGCAUGCGAGAAUAUGUGGCACACACAGUAUAUGUCACAAUGUUUACCAUCACUUCAAAACAUGCACCCGCCCACAGCUCUUCACUAGCAGCGUCCUGGAACUUCUCCAAUUGGGAUUUGCUAUAUGAAGCAAAAGUCAAUUAAAAUCAGCCAUUAUUGUACAGAUCAUGAGAUCCAUAGUAGGAGAUCCCAUACUUGUCCCAGAUGCUCAUUAAUAGCAGUGUGUUGUAAACAAUCCAGGACAAUUGCUUGGGGUUUGUAGACUUUUCUGAUGGCUGUGUUUGCUCAGUUAACAUGCAACAUUUUUAAAUGGGUUGGAUUAAAAUUUUUAGCAAAUAUCAAAUUCCCCAGAAACACAGAUCUGUUGCAUUCUGGAACUGUUUCAAAUGUAGGUCAGAGUCAGCGAGGAUGCUUAGCUAGUGAAAACAGAGACAGGGGGAGGAAGAUUUGGGGAAGGGAAAUUCUGCCUGCCCAGCUUGCAGAGGAGCCCAGCUCGCCCACCUUCCCUCCCAGAGCUGCUGAGCUGUGUGACUCAUCCCUGCAUCACUCCAGUGCCACCGCUCCCCUUGGGAAGGCAGCACCUGCGCAGCCUGGGGUCCCUCCCGGCUCCCCUCAGUGCCUCCAGGAGCUGCUCCAUGCAGGUCCUGCUGGUGGUUCUGGAGCCUCUGGUGCCUGCAUCAGUGCAAAUACAAGUUCAAAACGCCCUGGCAGGGCUAGGAGCAUCGCCCUGAAUUCCUGCACACUGAAAACUCC
rnacentral:lncRNA from 1 species